AUAAAUUCUAUGAAAAAGAGAGUAGAUAUAAAUUAAGUUUCAGCGAGCUAGAGUUGGUGUGAGUCUAGUAAUAAUGUUUAUAUUGAAGAGAGCUUUGGAGAAUAAUACCUGAAUUAGUAGUAUGGUAUUAGGAAUAUCUCGCCUUAAGAGAACUGAGUGGAUAAGUAUAACUUAUCAAUUAGAGUGGUAACACGGAAAUUUUCGUCUCUUGG
rnacentral:ncRNA from 1 species